AAACAUUUUUUUAAGAUUUUUUUAUUUAAAAUAAAACCUGCUCAAUGACAUUUUAAAUAGCCGCAGUAAUUUAACUGUGCCAAGGUAGCAUAAUCAUUAGUCUUCUAAUUAAAGACUGGAAUGAAUGGUUCCACACUUCUUUUUCUAUUUUUUAUUUAAUCGUAAAACUUAUAUUAAAUAUAAAAAUAUAUUUAUAAAAAAAUAAGACGACAAGACCCUUUCAAACUUUACUUUAGUUAAGCUGGGGAAGCUAUAUAAUUAAUAUCUUAUAAAAUUGCCUAAAAAUUAGACCCAAUAAAAAUUGAUCAACUGAUCAAGUUACUGAAGGGAUAACAGCAUUAUUAAUUUUUAUAGCUCUUAUAAAAAAAUUAGUUUAUGACCUCGAUGUUGAAUUAUUAUUUCUUCUUAACGCAAGAGUAAAGAAAGAAGGUCUGUUCGACCUUUAAAUUAUUACAUGAUCUGAGU
rnacentral:rRNA from 1 species